CCAGGAAGGAGUCUGGCAGAGCUCCCUGCAGCAGACCCUCCCUGCAGCAGACUAGACCAUCCAGCACAGCUUUUGCAAGCUGAGGCUGAGGGGUCACAGCUUGCCUAAGACCACCGUGUGAACUCAUGUCAGAAGCGGGAUUUGAACUGGGGACAUCCUGAUUCCCCACUCUGUCUCUUUGGCUCAGCUUUAAUCCUACACUGCAUCAACAGUCCACAACUCUAGACUACAAAGCUCAAGACGCAGAUGUAAUAGUCAAGCACAUACGGCGCUGGUGGCGCAGUGGUAAAACUGCCGCCCUGUAACCAGGAGGUUACAAGUUCGAUCCUGACCAGGAGCUCAAGGUUGACUCAGCCUUCCAUCCUUCCGAGGAGUAAAACAAACAUGCAGAUGUUCGCCAACCAGUUGGAAAUGAAGGAGGAGGGCUUACCUGAUCCUUGGUGUUCAGGGGAGCCUUAAAAUCACAAAGGAUCUCCAAGCAAGAGAUGCAUCCGUUGAUAGCUGGAAAAAAAGAAGAGGAAGGUUCCAGGCUCAAGUUACAACAGAGCACUUGGAUACAGGUCAGGGUUCAACUGAGACUGGCCCACAAGGGUCAAGAAGCAACUGCUAGUAUAGGACAAGUAUUGUCUGGUUGGGUCACAGUUUUUAAUUUUCCCAGUGUGAGCAUUUGCUUCCGGGAGCAGUAGAUGCACACACAGAGCUGACCUGCAUGGUGAAGCGCCGUUCUUCCACUGCCGUCUGCCAUAUCCACGGGGCAGGAUGCCUAAGGAAUGGGAGAGGAGGUUAGCAAUAAAUAACUGUGGAUGCAGUUCUGUCCACGUUCGUCUGGGAGUCAACCCCAUUGAACACCGUGGCACUUAUUUCUAAGUAAAUAUGCUUGAUGUGUAUUGAUGCUCAAAGUGGGAAAUAUUUGUCAUUUACUUUAUGCAUGUUAUUUCCCACCUUUUUUGCCAUGAUGGAACUCAAGAUGGCUUACACUGAGCUCCCGGGAAGCCACCCCCCCUGAUCAGACCCAAGGGAUUUCCAGAAACUGCAGGAUGUUCAGAGUUUUCAUGCAAGCUCCAAGUGUGAGCUUACUCCCCAUACACAUGCUGCUGCAAGCUUCCAUGCUACUUCCUGGAGCAAUCUUAUCCUCUGUACAUAUCCUGAGCAGGGACCUCACACAAUUUUCACAGUGCCACCUGCUGGCCAGCUCUUGCAUUCCGAGAAAAACCCUCCUUUUUUGUUAAUGUUGCUACUUUUGUGGCAAUUGGGAGAAAGAAUGGGCUCUUCUCAGAAUGCAAGAGCUUUGCUUCAGGAAGGUGGCUGCACUGCAUGCCCUCAAACCAUGCCCGGGCAUCAACAUGAAUGCACAGAACAGGCCCUCGUUAUCCGCAGUCCCGGAACCUGCGGUUUCACGUAUCCGCAGUCGGGCAAUGGAGACCUGACCUUGUUAUUUGUGGAUUUAAAAACAAUUAAAAUUCAACUAUUUGUGGUUCCUGGGUGGCCAGAAAUGGCCUCCGAGGUCAUUUCCAGCAACCAAUUUGCUAAAAGAACCCAUUUUGUGGCUCUUAGUUUAAAAUCAAAUUCCCCCAUGAUUCUUUGUGGAAAACUGGUGGAAUUCAGAGUUUUGGCAGGCAUUGCUGUACACCUGGAUACCUGGAGAACAUAUCACAGUACUUUAUUUCACUUAUUUCUGCUUUUUAAAUUGAUUUUAUUGCCCUUUUUUUGACCUCCAGGAACCAGAGGCGGAUCUUAUCUAUGGGCAAAGUGGGUGGCGCUCACCUUAAAUUUCUCAGUCAACCAUGUUGUUUCUGCCUCCAUUUUGUGUGCCUACUGCCUCCCUCUGUUGCUCCCUGCUGCUCUUGUCUGCAGCCUGCUGCUGUUUUAAGAGUUGUGAGGUGGGCAACAGUAGCACCACCAACCUCAAAUAACAAAUUAAAAGCCCCAGAUCUUUUAAAAUAUUAAUAUUAAUAAGGCAGGAGCCAAUAAGCAUGCUCACUUUUGUUUUUGCAAAGUGGGCAGUCCUAGGACCACCCUAUAAACCAAUCAGAGAGGGACUAGGCUGAUUGACUCUUCAGGCAGCCAAUCAGAGUGCCCAGAGGGUGGGGAAGUCUUUUUCUUUUAGCCACUCAGAAGAAUUCAAUUACCAUUUUGGUUAGAGAGCAGGUAGGCUGUUGGUAAGUCUGAUAUUUUGUUGCCUUAUUUUUUUGUGUUUGUUUGGAGGGGAUGAAUGCAACCUCUGCUUUCUCUCCCUUGGUCUCUGAUCUGGUGUGUAUGAAAAGCAUUAUGACUCAUUCCCAAAAUGACAAGCCAUAAAACAUUGGAAGGAAAAGCAAACUGUAAAACUGGACUGAUUAGAUUAUAAACUGGCAUAAGAAGCCAGAAAAUUAUUUUAGGGCAUAUGCAUGGACUUCUGAGUCUAAACUGCUUCUCAAGUAAUUGCAGAAGUGGCUCCCCAUGUGGGUGGGAUGUAGAGAAGGAAUGGAUUCUAUUGGAAAGAAAAUUAUUUUAAAAAUCCAUUUGCUAUACAAAGUGCUAAACAAGUUUUUCUCUGGAUUGUGGCCAGUAUCUGUAACAUUAACAUGUCCACUGGGUUAUGGUUCAUUGGGCAAGGAUUAAGGAAGUGAUCUCUAUAAAACAUUUUUUGCAUACUAGGAUGGACACCCAAGCUAAGUGGUGGACACCCAAGGUGGAAAGAGAGUGGCGCCCAGCUGUUCAGCAGGCGUGGAGUAGGGAGAGGGUGUCCCCAUGUAUCUUUGCUUCCCAUGGUGCCCUCUAAGUUACAGGAGCAAGCAUGAUCUAGAAGCAGGGGUAAGCAGCGAUGUGGCCAAAUCUGCAGAUGAUACCAAACUCUUCCAGGUAGUGAAAUCCAAAAUGGAUUGUGAGGAGCUCCAAAAGGAUCUCUCCAAAUUGGGGGAGUGGGCGACAAAAUGGCAAAUGCGGUUCAAUGUUAGCAAGUGUAAAGUGAUGCACAUUGGGAUGAAAAACCCCAACUUCAAGUAUAUGCUGAUGGGAUCCGAGCUGUUGGUGACUGACCAGGAGAGGGAUCUUGGGGUCGUGGUGGACAGCUCGUUGAAAGUGUCGACUCAAUGUGCGGCAGCUGUUAAAAAGGCCAAUUCCAUGCUAGGGAUCAUUAGGAAGGGGAUUGGAAAUAAAACGGCUAACAUUAUAAUGCCCUUAUACAAAACUUUGGUGCGACCACACUUGGAGUACUGCGUACAAUUCUGGUCACCACAUCUUAAAAAGGACUUUGUUGAACUGGAGAAGGUACAGAAGAGGGCAACCAAGAUGAUCAGGGGCCUAGAGCACCUUUCUUAUGAGGCAAGACUACAACACCUGGGGCUUUUUAGUUUAGAAAAAAGACGACUGCGGGGAGACAUGAUAGAGGUCUAUAAAAUCAUGCAUGGUGUGGAGAAAGUGGAGAGAGAGAAAUUCUUUUCCCUCUCACACAACACUAGAACCAGGGGUCACUCCAUGAAAUUGAUUGCCAGGAGGUCUAGGACCAACAAACGGAAGUACUUUUUCACACAACACGUGAUCCACUUGUGGAACUCUCUGCCACAGGAUGUGGUGACAGCCAACAACCUGGAUGGCUUUAAGAGGGGUUUGGAUGACUUCAUGGAGGAGAGGUCUAUCAAUGGCUACUAGUCGGAGGGCAGUGGGCCACCUCCAGCCUCAAAGGCAGGAUGCCUCUGAGUACCAGUUGCAGGGGAGUAAUGGCAGGAGAGAGGGCACGCCUUCAACUCCUGUCUGUGGCUUCUGGAGGCAUCUGGUGGGCCACUGUGCAAAACAGGAUGCUGGACUAGAUGGGCUUUGGGCCUGAUCCAGCAGGGCUGUUCUUAUGUUCUUAUCAUUGGGGAAAAUUUGUGAUUUUUCUAUUAUUUAUGUAUGCAUUUUUAAAAUAGGCAGGCAGAGCUGCCCUUGUAACUUCAGAAUGCAUUUGUUCUUCACUUUUGUAGCUGAUCUCUGCUCUACCUAUGGCUUAAAUUGAUUUAUUGACUUUUACAUGUAUAGACUGUGCUCCCUCCAAGAAGCCCACAGUGGUACACAUGUUUACAUUUAUCCUCCCAACAGUCCUAUGAGGAGGGUCAUGCUGAGAGCUAAGUGACCGUCCCAGAGUCACUCAGUGAGUUUCAUGGCUGAAUGGGGAUUUGAACUUGGAUUUCCCCCGUCUAGUCCAGCACACUAACCACUGCACCACUCUGGCAGGGAGUUCCUCCUUGUUGUUGUUGUUCAUUAGUAGUAGUCUUCGUUUUUGAAAUAAUCAGGCAGGCAGAGCUGCUCCCAAGGCUGUCCUUAGGGCAUGGCAAGCAGGGCGACAGCCUCGGUCCCCGGUCUUUUAACCCCUAUUAGGAUUAACAGGAAGGGGGUCCCGCACUGGCUGAUUUGCCCCGGGCCUCGCACUCCACCAGGGCUCUCUAAGGACAGCCCUGACUACCCUGGUGACUUCGGA